UACGAAGGGUGCAAGCGUUACUCGGAAUUACUGGGCGUAAAGCGUGCGUAGGCGGUGAGUUAAGUCUGUCGUGAAAGCCCCGGGCUCAACCUGGGAAUGGCGAUGGAUACUGGCUCGCUAGAGUGCGGUAGAGGAGAGUGGAAUUCCCGGUGUAGCAGUGAAAUGCGUAGAGAUCGGGAGGAACAUCAGUUGCGAAGGCGGCUCUCUGGACCAGCACUGACACUGAGGCACGAAAGCGUGGGGAGCAAACCGG
rnacentral:rRNA from 1 species